UACGGAGGGUGCAAGCGUUAUCCGGAUUCACUGGGUUUAAAGGGUGCGUAGGUGGGCAGGUAAGUCAGUGGUGAAAUCUCCGGGCUUAACUCGGAAACUGCCAUUGAUACUAUCUUUCUUGAAUACCGUGGAGGUCAGCGGAAUAUGUCAUGUAGCGGUGAAAUGCUUAGAUAUGACAUAGAACACCAAUUGCGAAGGCAGCUGGCUACACGAAUAUUGACACUGAUGCACGAAAGCGUGGGGGUCAAACAGG
rnacentral:rRNA from 1 species